GACGAACGCUGGCGGCGUGCCUAAUACAUGCCAGUUGAGCGAUGAAGCUUGGUGCUUGCCCCAAUUUGAAGAGCAGCGAACGGGUGAGUAACGCGUGGGGAAUCUGCCUUUGAGCGGGGGACAACAUUUGGAAACGAAUGCUAAUACCGCAUAACAACUUUAAACAUAAGUUUUAAGUUUGAAAGAUGCAAUUGCAUCACUCAAAGAUGAUCCCGCGUUGUAUUAGCUAGUUGGUGAGGUAAAGGCUCACCAAGGCGAUGAUACAUAGCCGACCUGAGAGGGUGAUCGGCCACAUUGGGACUGAGACACGGCCCAAACUCCUACGGGAGGCAGCAGUAGGGAAUCUUCGGCAAUGGACGAAAGUCUGGCCGAGCAACGCCGCGUGAGUGAAGAAGGGUUUCGGAUCGUAAAACUCUGUUGGUAGAGAAGAACGUUGGUGAGAGUGGAAAGCUCAUCAAGUGACGGUAACUACCCAGAAAGGGACGGCUAACUACGUG
rnacentral:rRNA from 1 species